rnacentral:rRNA from 1 species
CCAGACUCCUACGGGAGGCAGCAGUGGGGGAUAUUGCACAAUGGGGGAAACCCUGAUGCAGCGACGCCGCGUGGAGGAAGAAGGUCUUCGGAUUGUAAACUCCUGUCCUUGGGGACGAUAAUGACGGUACCCAAGGAGGAAGCACCGGCUGACUACGUGCCAGCAGCCGCGGUAAUACGUAGGGGGCAAGCGUUAUCCGGAUUUACUGGGUGUAAAGGGGGCGCAGACGGCGAUGCAAGCCAGGAGUGAAAGCCCGGGGCCCAACCCCGGGACUGCUCUUGGAACUGCGUGGCUGGAGUGCAGGAGGGGCAGGCGGAAUUCCUGGUGUAGCGGUGAAAUGCGUAGAUAUCAGGAGGAACACCGGUGGCGAAGGCGGCCUGCUGGACUGCAACUGACGUUGAGGCCCGAAAGCGUGGGGAGCAAACAGGAUUAGAUACCCGAGUAC